UACGGAGGGCGCAAGCGUUGUUCGGAAUCAUUGGGCGUAAAGCGCGUGUAGGCGGUUUGGUAAGUCGGGUGUGAAAUCCCGGGGCUCAACCCCGGAACUGCAUUCGAAACUGCCUGGCUAGAGUCCCGGAGGGGAGGGCGGAAUUCCCGGUGUAGAGGUGAAAUUCGUAGAUAUCGGGAGGAUCAACAGCGGCGAAGGCGUCCCUCUGGACGGUAACUUAAGCUGGGACGCGAAAUCAUGGGGAGCAAACAGG
rnacentral:rRNA from 1 species